GAAUGAAAAUCCGUUGGUUUUACGAGACCGUGAGGGUUCGAAUCCCUCUAUCCCCAGCG
rnacentral:tRNA from 2 species